CCCUUAGAUGUUCUGGGCUGCACACGUGUUACAAUCGGGAGUACAACAAGAUUGCAAAUCCUAGUGGAUGAGUGGUUCUUCGAAAUUUUCUGAAGACUGGGAUAGUUGAUUGAAAUUAUUCAACUCGAACGAGGAAUUCCUUGUAAUUGUAAUUCAUUAUAUUGUAAUGAAUACGUCCCUGCCCUUUGUACACACUGCCCGUCGCUCCUACCGAUUGAACGAUCCGGUGAAUUAUUUGGAGUAGCUCUGGAAGUUGCAGAACUUCCUAUGUCACGAAAUUUUGUAAACCUUAUCGUUUAGAGGAAGGAAAAGUCGUAACA
rnacentral:rRNA from 1 species